UGGGGAAUAUUGGACAAUGGGCGCAAGCCUGAUCCAGCCAUGCCGCGUGAGUGAUGAAGGCCCUAGGGUUGUAAAGCUCUUUCACCGGUGAAGAUAAUGACGGUAACCGGAGAAGAAGCCCCGGCUAACUUCGUGCCAGCAGCCGCGGUAAUACGAAGGGGGCUAGCAUUGUUCGGAUUUACUGGGCGUAAAGCGCACGUAGGCGGACUUUUAAGUCAGGGGUGAAAUCCCGGGGCUCAACCCCGGAACUGCCUUUGAUACUGGAAGUCUUGAGUAUGGUAGAGGUGAGUGGAAUUCCGAGUGUAGAGGUGAAAUUCGUAGAUAUUCGGAGGAACACCAGUGGCGAAGGCGGCUCACUGGACCAUUACUGACGCUGAGGUGCGAAAGCGUGGGGAGCAAACAGG
rnacentral:rRNA from 1 species